UGGGGAGUCGCCAAGUGGUAAGGCAGCGGCCUUUGGAGCCGCCAUUCGGAGGUUCGAAUCCUCCCUCCCCAGCCA
rnacentral:tRNA from 3 species